GGUGCUGCAUGGCUGUCGUCAGCUCGUGUCGUGAGAUGUUGGGUUAAGUCCCGUAACGAGCGCAACCCUUGUCCUUAGUUACCAGCACGUUAUGGUGGGCACUCUAAGGAGACUGCCGGUGACAAACCGGAGGAAGGUGGGGGAUGACGUCAAGUCAUCAUGGCCCUUACGGCCUGGGCUACACACGUGCUACAAUGGUCGGUACAAAGGGUUGCCAAGCCGCGAGGUGGAGCUAAUCCCAUAAAACCGAUCGUAGUCCGGAUCGCAGUCUGCAACUCGACUGCGUGAAGUCGGAAUCGCUAGUAAUCGUGAAUCAGAAUGUCACGGUGAAUACGUUCCCGGGCCUU
rnacentral:rRNA from 1 species